rnacentral:rRNA from 1 species
GUAACAGGAAGUGCUUGCACUUCGCUGACGACCGGCGCACGGGUGAGUAUCGCGUAUACAAUCUGCCUCAUACUAGGGAAUAGCCCGAAGAAAUUUGGAUUAAUGCCCUAUAGUAUCUUUUUAAGGCAUCUUAUUAAGAUUAAAGGUUACGGUAUGAGAUGAGUAUGCGUUCUAUUAGCUAGUAGGUGUGGUAACGGCACACCUAGGCUACGAUAGAUAGGGGCCCUGAGAGGGGGAUCCCCCACACUGGUACUGAGACAGGACCAGACUCCUACGGGAGGCAGCAGUAAGGAAUAUUGGACAAUGGGCGAAAGCCUGAUCCAGCCAUGCCGCGUGCAGGAUGACUGCCCUAUGGGUUGUAAACUGCUUUUAUAUAGGAAGAAAAAUUUUCUCGUGAGAAAACUUGACGGUACUAUAAGAAUAAGGAUCG